rnacentral:ribozyme from 12 species
AAAAAAAAAAAAAAAAAAACAGGAGUUAUGUUUCUUAUUGUGUUUUCAUUCUCUCUGGUUUUAUUCAUCCAU